CUUGGAUAGGACAGACCUCGUAGGUCCCCAAGCUCCAGCUUGGAGUUCCCAAGGAGAAGGGAAGCGCUAGUGCUAUGGAGCGAGGUUUUGGUGAAGAAAAGGGCCUCGCGCCCCCUUAGUGCCGUCGCUCUGGGGAAUCUUCUUUCGCUGGGAGGAUGAAUGGGGCGCUCGCCGCGGCUCAUGGCGCCCCCUAGGAGCGGCAGGAAACUUCUCCUGCAGGGCAGCGCGGGCCGGGCUCCGCCUCCGGAAGGCGGGCGGGGAGGGUAGUUGCUGGGGGUCCCUAGGCCGGGCCCCAGGACAUCUAGGACAUGCCGGGGGCUGUUUGCUACGGCUUCAUCCCGGAGCUCCUGCUCGGGGUUGCCGGCUGCCUCUGCUGGCGUCCCUCUUCCCUUCCUUUGCGAAAAAAACCAUUCUUCCAGGAGAGGCUCCUCCAAGCAAACUUCCCCUUACAUCUCUUACCAGAACUGGGUCACAUGCUCCCAUCUAAAACAACCACUGGCCAUUAGAAAUGGUGUUACCAUGCCUGUCUUGGACCAAUCACAUUUGAUCCUCUGAGGAUAGAGACAUGUUGCCACCUGAACAACUGUGGGGUGCUGUACUCCUGGCAAGCAGGGAGAAUGGCUGUGGCUAGGCAACUGACAGCAUCUACCACAAAUAUGUUACUCAGAAGAAGAAUCGAGGAUGGCCAUAAUUUUUAUUUAAAGAUUUCUAUUUUACAGAGGCAUAUCUGAUUAAGGGACAUUUAAACUUCCCUGUUAAACUUAUCAAGACAAAAAGACAAGGCAUCUUGCCACAUUUCUUAAAUAUUCUCUGCAGUCUCUCUUGACCUUUUCCCAGCUGUGCUGUAAACAUAAAGAUAAUAACAUAUCUGAAUAACAUUUUAUGGUGCACAGAUAAUUUUCACAUACAUUAUCCAUUUGACCCUCACCAUAACUGUGUGGGGUAGGUAAGGUACGAUUGUACUUUUCAUUAAUUUUUUUUUUUUUGAGACACAGUCUCGUUCUGUCACCCAGGCUAGAGUGCAGUGGUGCGAUCUGGGCUCACUGCAACCUCCACCUCCCAGGUUCAAGUGAUUCUCCUGCCUCAGCCUCCAAGUAGCUGGGAUUACAGGCAAGUGCCACCAUGCCUGGCUAGUUUUUGUAAUUUUUUAGUAGAGACAGGGUUUCACCAUGUUGGCCAGGCUGGUCUAGAACUCCUGACCUCAGGUGAUCCACGUGCCUCGGCCUCCCAAAGUGCUGGGGUUACAGGCAUGAGCCACUGCUCCUGGCCACUUUUCAUUAAUUUUUAUUGGACUUAGGAUUAGAAGGAUGAGCAAAUCCUACUACUUAGUGCGUGGAAUACUGGCAUCUAUUGUUUUUGCUUGGCUCCUCUCUUGUUUUAAUAAUUAACUAAUCGAUCCAUUCUCUUUUAUUGCCAUCUCCCACUCACACUUUUUCCUCCACAUAGGCAAUCAUUCUAAAUAUGUCCAAUGUUUAUCUUAUUUGUAUGCGUAUUUAUAAAGUGAAUAUUUUGUUUAGUGUGUAUGCAGUUUCGUUUGCAUAAAUUGUAAUAUUCUGUGAAUCUCAUUCUGUUUUGUACUUUUUUCAUUCUGCUCUGUUUUUAGAAGUGAUCCAUGUUGCUAUGUGUAUCUACUCCAUUGCCUUUAAAUGCUGCAUAAUACUCCACGGUGUUUGUCGAUCAUGUUUUACUCAUCUUUGCCCCCUAGUGGAAACCAUGAUGGCCUCCAACUCUGCACACAAAUAGUUUCAAACAAGAACCGCUGGUGAAAUGUGACUGCUGAUGGACCUGGGUGGGAAUUUCUCUGGGAUGCCGACUAAAAAGCAUGGUGGCUGGGUCAUAAAAUGCACACUUAAUUUGAAUAAGUGCCACCCAGUGGCUCUCCACAAAGCCUGCACUAGUCCAUUCUACUAGAAAUUAUUCACAUUUAACUGGAAACUGGGUCUUGGAGAUGUUAAGUAACUUGCUCAAGCUCACAUAAGGAGUAAAAGUGAAUUAGGACAUCCAGGACCCAAAUCCAGGCCUUGUAACUUCAGGUCAAUUUUAUUUUCCAGGGCACCACCCUCUAAGUCUCUGGAUCAUAAUAUGGAGCACUAAUAAAAAGAUUUCUUGAGGCUUUUGUUAUUUACAUAAUGAAUUUCAGAAAUGGCUUACUGGUGCUACUGGCAAGUUGCAGGCAGAAGAAAGAAUGAAAGCGAAUGGGCAUCUCAUGUUCUAUUCUCUGAUUCAACCUGUUUUGGGUCCCUUUUGACUGCUUUACCACAGUUGCUAUUACAUUAUUUUGGGAAGUAUUUAAAAAAGAAGAGAAAGUGCUGGAUAUCUGAACUCCUUUCCUCCAGUCUGCCAUGGGCCAAAAUGUAGUACCACCAUGCCUGACUAGAAAGUAAAAGAGGAAUCAUAGAAUCAGAUAGUGUUAUAACCAGAAUGGGCCUUACAGACCAUUUAGUCUAGUCCUCCCAUUUUAUAGAUGAGAAAAUGGAGGCCCAGAGAGAGGAAGACAGUUGCCUGAGGUCACACAGCUGGAAGGAGAGCAGGAUGGGCACCCAGGCUUUCUGAAAACCAGUCUCUUUGAUGCAGGUGAACCCCCACAUUGGGGCUCAGCUCAAGAGGGUUCUUAGCUUUGCUCAGGAAGGAAUUCAAGAGUGAGCUGACAGUUAAAGAAAGCAAGUUUUUAGAGCAAUAGUGUACAGCAAAAUGGCUGCUCCACAGACAGAGCAGGGCCAUCCCAUAGGCAGAGUAGCACUUGUGCAUUGCUGGCUAGCUCUAUUUAUAGCUGCUCCUAAUUAUAUGCUAAAUAAGCGGUGGGUUAUUCACAGAUUUUCUAGAAAAGGUGUGGGGAAUUUCCAGAACUGAUGGUUCCUUCCUCUUUAAACCAUGUAAGGUAACUUCUGGGUUUUGCCAUGACAUCAACUGUCAUGGUGCUGGUGGGAAGUGUUUUACAGCAUGCAAAUGUAUUAUAAUUCCUAGUCCUAACUGCUUUUGGCUGGUUCCUUUGCUACAUCCUGUUUUGAUCAGCAGUGUCAUGAAAACAAGUCCUGUUCAUCUCCUACCUCUCCUUGCCCUUUCCACUUUUCUGCACACAGCAACUUUCACCUGCGCACCCAGGAAUCCACACUUUAAGUCUUAACAACCUGAGGUGUUGUUGAGAAAAAACUACAAACAGUGGUGCGCUGGCAAAUCUUUAACAAUCACCUGGGGUGGGGUGGGGUGUGGAUAAACAAGCCUUAUUUGUAGCAUAUGGCCAAUUUCAAGCUGCCAAAGUGCUGUCACUGAACGUGAAGUAGUGGGAGCAGGGCAGCAGAGGGCCACCAAUCAGAGGCAUUUCCACCAAACAGAUGCAAUUGGCAUAAGUAACUGCAAGGGCACGGACAACCGCAAGGUCUGCUAAAAGGAUUAGGAAGUGAUGAGUUUUGAGUGUUUAUUACUUUUGGUUUUAGUGUAACUUAUUUGUAAGCUUACAUAAUUUAAUGUCUAAUAAGGGCAAUGUUUAACAAUCACUCAUGAAAUUCCUGAAAAUUGAACUGAUACGGUUUGGCUGUGUCCAAACCAAAUCUCAUCUCAAAUUGUAAUCUGAAUUAUAAUCUCCACGUGUUGGGGAGGUAUCUGGUGGGAGGUGAUUGGAUCGGGGAGGGGGGGAUUCCCCCACGAUGUUCUCAUGAUUGUGAAUGAGUUCUCACGAGAUCUGUUGGCUUUAUAAGUGGUGGUUUCCCCUGUUCUCGCUCUUUCCUGCUGCCUUGUGAGGAAGGUACUUGCUUCUCCUUUGCCUUGUGCCGUGAUUCACUUUAAAAUGGAAGCACCAACGCUGGCAUCAGCAGAGUCCUUCAAAGAAUUUGAUUCAGUGGAGGCCAACUCAACAAAAUAGAAAGCCCCAGAUGGACAGCCAUUGGCUGCACCUGGAGCAGACAAUUGAGAGGCCUGGCUCAUGGAUGGGUUUGAACCACCUCAGGACUGAAGAUGAGCGGCUCAGUUUCACUAACAACAAGAACAGUGACAAAUUCCCUGCCCGGCCCAAGCUCUGUGGUCCUUAUGCAGAUGCCAGUGGCACCCCUGUCCCAGAUGUGACAACCAAAAAUGAUGUCAGACAUUGCUGAAUUGUCCCCUGGAGGAGGAGAAAAAUCAACCCCUUUGAGAACUGCUGGGCAGCUCUAAAGGUCAUCCCUAAGUUCAGGGUGAGGAGAUGACCUACCCUUCUGCCCCGCAACGCCAUCCUACAUCUGAAAUUCUUCUUAAGGGCAUGGUGGAAACCCUUACCUUUGAGAUGAGCCCAGUACCAGCACUAACAUAUGGAACCAUAGAGUUGACACUGGAGGAACCCCCAGGUUUCAUUUGAGAGGACACUGGAGUUCAGCGUGGAAGAAAGGCCUGCCCAAAGUCACACAGCCCAGGGCUCCUGGCAGGGAGCCACGGCUGCUUUCUCUGCUCCAUACUGGAAUUAAAGGUUGAAUUCCAGGCAAUUUUCCAGUUCCUAGUCCCACUGGAUGGAAAGUCAACACACCUGGUUCUCUCAGUGAUCUGAAAUCACAUGCAGAAAUCCACUCCUUAGUCACAAAGAGAAGUUAGUGGAAGUGUGUUUUGUUCCUAGUUAUCCUCUCCAAAGGUUCAGCCCUUUGCAUUCCCUUAGGAGAAAACAGGGCCUGCCCUCCUCAUGUCUGUCACCUGUCCAAGAUCAUUCCUUCUAUCAUUCACCUCCCAUUAACCAAAAUCCCCUUCUCUAGGUACCUGGGUCUUGGACAGCUGUCAAGUGGAAAGCCUUCUGAUUAACUAAUACUAUAAUGUAAAUGACUGCAAAGUUCCCUCUUGUGAUAACUGAGUCCUGGACAGUGGUCAAGGAAGAAAUCCUUCUUAUUAAUUCCCAGUAAGAUGUGAAUCACUGACAACUAGCUCUCCAAUUGUAUCGUCAAAGAGAGUGCCUGGAGGUUCAAAAUGUUCGUAAUUCCUUUCAUUUGUUUGACAAUUAUAGAAGUUUUGCUCAAAUCUGGGUUUAGUCACUUAGGAGCUUUGACCUUAUUAAAGUUAUUUAACCUCCCUGAGCCUCAGUUACCUCACUGGGAAAAUGAAGAUCAUAAUUAGACCCCAAAAUAUCAGGUGAGAAUUAACUGGGCUCACAGCAUAGCCUCUGACUGAUUAUAGGUGCUUAAUAAAUGUUAGUUCCUUUUGAAAGAUAGAAGUUGCCACCCAUGGAGAUUUUAAAACUUGCUCAAGAGCACUGCUGGUGAGAGCUGGGUCAGAAACAGCAGUUCAGAAGCUUCUAGCAGCGUUGCAAAGUCCCUCCUGGCAGGACAUCAGCAUUGGUCUCAUUCAUUGACACAUGUCUGAGGCCCAUGCCUGGGUACUAGGGAUAUGGGCAAUGUGGAGAGGCUGGUGGGCAGAGUACUUGGAGAGUGGUAGUUGCAUGGGAGUAGUCACAGAAAUCACUGUUUUGGGAGUCUUCAGCAGACUCCAUCACUGUGGCCAAGCUGGGGAGAUGAGGGUGGCUUGAGGUUGGGUUAGACAGGCAGGGCAGAGGUGUGUGGCAUUGUUGAUGGGCCAGGUCAACUUGGAUGAGGUCUCUUGGCAUGCACCUCUCCUAGGGGAUGUGAGAGCUGACCUCUGUGGGGAAAGACCUGGGCUAUCCAUCACCUGUUUGCUCAGGGCAUUAUGCCCUUGUGUGAGAGGCAGCUGAGUGGCCACAGGGCCUCUGCAGCCUCCAAACCUGGGAGACAAAGAGGGGAAGGCUGACUCCCUCUUGGUGAGGAACCAACUUCUUCUAAUUCAAGGAGGCUGGGGCUGCCACCACCUGACAUCAGCCAUGGGGACCGGUUUGUUCUGUCAUGUCUUCAGAGGACUGGCCUUGGAAAGCAGCACUGCUGGAAAUCCUGCUGUAAAGCACAGACUUCUGCCAUGGAGUCCAAGUUUGUCCAAGUUUUCAUGCAAUGGGUUUGCUAAAAGUGGGACCUAUUGUUUUGUUAUAGAAACCUGGGCUAAGGACUCACAGCAGAUAAAAAUAAACUUAUUUCAUUAUCAAAGUAAAACAUGUCCAUUGCAAAGGAUAUAGAAAAUACAAGAAAAGUGAAAUGUUAAAAUCAUGCACAGUGCCAUCCCAAACUCUUACUAAGAUUCUAUGUGUUAUGUUCGUGCAAAAGUAACUGCAGUUUUACCAUUACUUUUAAUGGCAAAUUAAAAGUUUAUUCCCUUUGAUGCAAUAUUGGGACUCUAAUUAAAAGUUACGGCAAACUCGCAAAACCUAAUAUUUUCUUCUACCAUUUUUUCCACAUACAUUUUUGCAGAUGUCAUCUUAGUUUCCUGCCAUUUUGUCACAUGCAUAAACAUAUUUUAAAUUAUUAUAAUAUGCUUAUACAUUUCUUUUGUUUACUGUCUUUUU
rnacentral:lncRNA from 10 species